GUCAUCUGGUUCCACACUCGCUCCAGUGAUGUUUGAGCCCCAGCAUAGAUCAGCAUGCCAGGAAGCAGCCCACCGGACCCACCCCUGAUCAUGGCACUGGACAUUGUUUUCCGUGCUUUUCUCAGGCUGGUUUCUGCCUGUCCCAACCCUGGCCAUGGCUGACAAGGGGCCCAGGGACACUGGAGCAGAGAGACCUGCUGGUCCUUGGGGUUUCUUGCAAGCUGCCUCUAAAGGGAAAUAUCCCAGGAGUGAUGAAAACUUGAAGAUCGAGGAUUGGAUAUAAGCUCAGAGGUGAAGGAGGGAAAUUCCUCGGGUCAACUUUAGCGGACUGAUCCACGGGGUCUGCCAAGAGACAGGAGCUCGAGGGUUAAACCCAAGCACUCGGGAGUCAGAUGUAUGAAUCUGAAUCUCAGCCUCUCGGCUUGCUGUGUAAUCUCAGAGUGAAUCAUCUGUGAACACUUCCUGUGAACGUGUGACUAUGAUUAUGGAACACUCUGUUGCAUCAAGAUGGCCAGAGAUUGUCUCAGAGUCCAGGCAGUGGGAGGAGGGGGGAUUUGUUUCCUGGCUGGGUGGUCGUAGGGCAUCAAGGGAUGAGCAGCUUUGGUUGUCUGGGAUUUCAGCAGCUUGAGGGGAGCUGUAGGGCCCCAGAGCUGUCGCUGUGGCUGUGGUGUCAGAAAUGUAAGCAAGGUGCCUCCAUGGAGGUUAGCGAGGGUGCCCCUCUGAAUGCCGGGUGGAAUGCAACCUUUCGCAUGGAGGAGGCCCUCAGCAGCUGACCUCUGUCUUCCCUGUGUAGAGGGAGGGAGGCUGAGGCUGGGGCUGAGCGAGGGGUAAAGUAAGCCACGUGUCUCAUCAGCUAGCCUGCAGCAAGCACAGCCCUCUGGGAGGGCUGGUUCUAUCCUCCUCCUUGGUGUGAAAUCCAUCAAUCUAAUAGGGAUCCUUAUUUUCCCAGCCACCAAGUCACAAUGAGCAAUAAUCUCUUCUUGUUGGUGCAUAUAAAUUUGCUUCAUUCUUUUUUAAACAG
rnacentral:lncRNA from 1 species